rnacentral:rRNA from 1 species
GAUCCUGGCUCAGGAUGAACGCUAGCGGCAGGCCUAACACAUGCAAGUCGAGGGGCAGCACGGUGUAGCAAUACACUGGUGGCGACCGGCGCACGGGUGCGUAACGCGUAUGCAACCUACCCAUAACAGGGGGGAUAACACUGAGAAAUUGGUACUAAUACCCCAUAACAUCAGGACCGGCAUCGGUUCUGGUUGAAAACUCCGGUGGUUAUGGAUGGGCAUGCGUUGUAUUAGCUGGUUGGUAAAGG